GAUGAACGCUGGCGGCGUGCCUAAUACAUGCAAGUCGAGCGAACAGACGAGGAGCUUGCUCCUCUGACGUUAGCGGCGGACGGGUGAGUAACACGUGGAUAACCUACCUAUAAGACUGGGAUAACUUCGGGAAACCGGAUCUAAUACCGGAUAAUAUAUUGAACCGCAUGGUUCAAUAGUGAAAGACGGUUUUGCUGGCACGUCUAGAUGGAUCCGCGCCGCAUUAGCUAGUUGUUAAGUUAACGGCUUACCACGGCGACGAUGCGUAGCCGAACUGAGAGGGUGAUCGGCCACCCUGGAACUGAGACACGGUCCAUACUACUACGGGAGGCAGCAGUAGGGAAUCGUCCGCAACGGGCGAAAGCCUGACGGAGCAACGCCGAGUGAGUGAUGAAGGUGUUCGGAUCGUAAAACUCUGUUAUUAGGGAAGAACAAAUGUGUAAGGAACUAUGGCCGUAUUGACGGUACUUAAUCAGAAAGCCACGGCUAACUACGUG
rnacentral:rRNA from 1 species